AUCACAUGCGAUUUAUCGUGCAGCCCUACCUGUUAACCCAGCGGCAGAGUUACUCUCACAGGACACUGCGCUUAUUCGCAAUCACAAAAGUACAUUAUUUGCAUGUGCUUUAAAGCCUUGCAC